rnacentral:rRNA from 1 species
GACAGAGGGUGCAAACGUUGCUCGGAAUCACUGGGCGUAAAGGGCGCGUAGGCGGCCGAUCAAGUCAGGGGUGAAAGCCUGUGGCUCAACCACAGAAUUGCCUUUGAUACUGUUCGGCUCGAGACCGGAAGAGGUAAGUGGAACUGCGAGUGUAGAGGUGAAAUUCGUAGAUAUUCGCAAGAACACCAGUGGCGAAGGCGGCUCACUGGCCCGGUACUGACGCUGAGGUGCGAAAGCGUGGGGAGCAAACAGG